AUAUCUUUCUCGGCCUUUUGGCUAAGAUCAAGUGUAGUAUCUGUUCUUAUCAGUUUAAUAUCUGAUAUGUGGAUUUUCAUGUCCACGUGAUAUUAGAUUAUUUUUUUAUGGGGAAGGAUCAGCAUAUGUAGCUUGCUACAUGGAUCCUUGUGUAUCGCCCUAGCGUUGCACUACUGCUAGGGCUUGAUGCACCCCAA
rfam:Triticum aestivum genome assembly, contig: Triticum_aestivum_CS42_TGACv1_scaffold_158120_2DL